UUCCCUGGUUGUUUUGCAGGAGCACACGAUAUUCAGAGCUCUGCAGACAAGGCUGAGCACGGCUGAGUGGCUGUGGCUGCUCUGCACAGGCAGCUCUGGCAGGAAAUGCGGGCUGAGCUGCAGGACAGUGGCCAAGGUGAAACUUGGCCCUGGAAUCCUCCGGGGUCAUCCUGUGGGACAUGGCAAAGAUGGAAAAGGGCUGCAGGCCGCGGGUGGAGCAGGGCUGACCCAGGCUGUGUCCCGGCCAAGGAGUUCUUCUGAUGUCCCUUGAGAGGACACCCCAGGGGUUUUUCUGAAGAAGGACUUCUGAUCGGGCAAUCUGUAGACUCCUGGUUUCAUUUGACUGUAGUGUUAUCUUCUUAAAUCAAAAAACAUUUGCUGUAGGAAGAAACCAUCUUGCCUUGUGAAAGGACAGACUCCACCUGCUGGAAGGCCGAGGUGAGGGCAGGACCUGUAAAAUCUCUGACUCUCCGCGUCUCCCUGAGGCUCUGAAGCCGCGUUUGCUGCCAAUGGCGACGUAGUGGAAGAUGCUGAAGGCUGAAGACUUGGGGUUUUUUCCCCUGAAUCCCAGGACUCGCUCUGCAGCUGUGCCCUGUAGAUCCCUUCAAAGAGUACCUGGGUUUAGAAAGCUUUUUACAUCCUAACUUAUUUCUCUACAACUCAGUUAAAAAGAAUCACACUGUAUCAAUGUGGUGUUAAUUACUUUGAGUUGUUUAAUUAAAGCAAAUCAUUGAUAAGGGGUUUGAGCAUCCCUUGGUUGGAG